rnacentral:rRNA from 1 species
GUCGAACGGCAGCGGGAAGGAGCUUGCUCCUUUGCCGGCGAGUGGCGCACGGGUGCGUAACGCGUAUACAACCUACCUUAUACAGGGGUAUAGCCCAGGGAAACUUGGAUUAACACCCCAUAGUAAUAUGUUUUGGCAUCAUUACAUAUUUAAAACUACGGUGGUAUAAGAUGGGUAUGCGUCCCAUUAGCUUGUUGGUGUGGUAACGGCACACCAAGGCAACGAUGGGUAGGGGCCCUGAGAGGGGGGUCCCCCACACUGGUACUGAGACACGGACCAGACUCCUACGGGAGGCAGCAGUGAGGAAUAUUGGACAAUGGGCGCAAGCCUGAUCCAGCCAUGCCGCGUGCAGGAAGACUGCCCUAUGGGUUGUAAACUGCUUUUAUACGGGAAGAAACCCACCUACGUGUAGGUGGCUGACGGUACCGUAAGAAUAAGGACCGGCUAACUCCGUGCCAGCAGCCGCGGUAAUACGGAGGGUCCGAGCGUUAUCCGGAAUCAUUGGGUUUAAAGGGUCCGCAGGCGGCCAGAUAAGUCAGUGGUGAAAUUCCGUGGCUCAACCACGGAACUGCCAUUGAUACUGUUUGGCUUGAAUCAGUUCGAGGAUGCCGGAAUGUGUGGUGUAGCGGUGAAAUGCAUAGAUAUCACACAGAACACCAAUUGCGAAGGCAGGUGUCCAGAACUGUAUUGACGCUGAUGGACGAAAGCGUGGGUAGCGAACAGGAUUAGAUACCCUGGUAGUCCACGCCGUAAACGAUGGUCACUAGCUGUCCGGACUUAGGUCUGGGUGGCCAAGCGAAAGUGAUAAGUGACCCACCUGGGGAGUACGUUCGCAAGAAUGAAACUCAAAGGAAUUGACGGGGGCCCGCACAAGCGGUGGAGCAUGUGUUUAAUUCGAUGAUACGCGAGGAACCUUACCAGGCUUAAAUGCAUUAUGACAGGGGUGGAGACACCCUUUUCUUCGGACAUUUGCAAGGUGCUGCAUGUGUCGUCAGCUCGUGCCGGGAGUGUCAGUAGUCUAUAACGAGCGCACCCCUGUGUUAGUGCCAGCGAGUAUGUCGGACUCUAGCAGACUGCGUGCAACCGCGAGAGGUGGGAUGACGUCAUCAUCACGCCUACGCCCUGGCACACACUGCUACAUGCAGUACGCAGCACCACUGGUGACGAACGACCGUAGCCUGUCCAGUCGAUCGAACUGCACUGCAAUCUGGAGCUGAAUCGCUAAAAUCCCAAUAUUACCCCAG